rnacentral:pre_miRNA from 1 species
CGCCUUUAUUGCCAUAAGCGAGGUAUAGAGUUCCUACGUUCAUUUAAACUUUCGUAGGAACUUAAUACCGUGCUCUUGGAGGGCUGUU